rnacentral:rRNA from 1 species
AGAGCGAACGCUGGCGGCAGGCUUAACACAUGCAAGUCGAGCGGGCGUAGCAAUACGUCAGCGGCAGACGGGUGAGUAACGCGUGGGAACAUACCUUUUGGUUCGGAACAACACAGGGAAACUUGUGCUAAUACCGGAUAAGCCCUUACGGGGAAAGAUUUAUCGCCGAAAGAUUGGCCCGCGUCUGAUUAGCUAGUUGGUGAGGUAACGGCUCACCAAGGCGACGAUCAGUAGCUGGUCUGAGAGGAUGAUCAGCCACAUUGGGACUGAGACACGGCCCAAACUCCUACGGGAGGCAGCAGUGGGGAAUAUUGGACAAUGGGCGCAAAGCCUGAUCCAGCCGAUGCCGCGUGAGUGAUGAAGGCCCGUAGGUUGUAAAGCUCUUUUGUGCGGGAAGAUAAUGACGGUACCGCAAGAAUAAGGCCCGACUAACUUCGCGCCAGCAGCCGC